AUUGAACGCUGGCGGCAGGCCUAACACAUGCAAGUCGAGCGGAUGAAGGGAUCUUGCUCCUGGAUUCAGCGGCUGACGGGUGAGUAAUGCCUAGGAAUCUGCCUGGUAGUGGGGGAUAACGUCCGGAAACGGGCGCUAAUACCGCAUACGUCCUGAGGGAGCAAGUUGGGGAUCUUCUGACCUCACUCUAUCAGAUGAGCCUAGGUCGGCUUAGCUAGUUGGUGGGGUAAAGGCCUACCAGGGCGAGGAUCCGUAACUGAUCUGAGGGAAUGAUAAGUCACACUAGAAGUGGAACAGGGUCCAGACGACUAAGGGAGGCAGCAGUGGGGAAUGUUGGGAAGUAGGAGAAAGCAGUAUCCAGCGAUGCGAAGAGUGAGGAGAAGGUAUUGGGAUUGGGAAGAAGGUUAAGUUGGGGGGAAGGGCAGUAAGUUAAGAACAAGCUGGAUUGACGGUAACAGCAGAAUAAGCACCGGCUAACUACGUG
rnacentral:rRNA from 1 species